GGAUUUUUCCAUGACAAACCAUCGCCUUUCCCAAUGCUGAGCGGUGGGAACAGGCCACUUUGUUUGUACAAAGCAGCGUCUGGGAGGAAUGCGGGGUUUAGCCGGGGAGGGGAUGGCAGGAGGAACGUAUGAUAACUCCCACUCCAUUCAGAUUUAUGGUCAAGACAGAGGGGCUCCUCUGGAUGCAUGUCAGGGGACUAGUAGAACACCGCCCCUCUACUCCGGGCCUGCCAAAGCAAAUGUUUAGCCGAACGAUCCCUCGCUAUUCUUUACAUCCUUCUUUUCUUUUUUGUGUGUCAUCAUAUGGAAAAUCUUCUCCACUGCUCCGGGACACCAGCGGACCCAUUCAUCUCUCUCUUUCUGUGUCUCUCUCUCCCUCCCUCCCUCCCUCCCUGGUCUAAUCAGAGGACCACACACUCCCUCAUCUCAUCUGAUGUCUGGUAAUUGAAGGCCAUGUUCGCAGCUUGGCCCUUGGGAUGGCCAUGUCGGUCGGUUGGUCGCUUGGUCCACUUCGUAUCUCACUUGACUAUUUCUUGGCUGGGACCAGUAUUUUCCUGGAGUCCCUGCUGGUUGCCAAGCAGCUGGUCUCGACCGAAUAGUCUGGCAGCCCCAUGUAAAACGGUCUCUCUGCUCCCAUGCUGCUGAUGCUGCUGCUGGUCAGCCAAACCUGCUGAUCCUGGCGCGGCGGCUGGCGCCCCCUGGAGAACUCUUCUCCGCCCAAUCCAGGGGAUCCGAUUGACACUGCGAGUGUGCCAUCUGCCCCUCUACAAGAUUACACAGUGCACUGGGCCAAGAAAUCCUCCAGCACAGCAGAUUAAAUAUGAAAUAUAGGGCAGACAUAGUUGUGCCGCUGCAUGUCUAGAUUUAGUGGUGCCAUGUCGCCCCUCUAUAUUUGUACCACUGUAAGCUUUUUUUCCAGGUGUGUGUCUGGAUUAGGAAUUUUCUUUAUUUGUUUCAUUCUGUUCUUUUUUGUGUAUCGUUAUUGAACCAGACAUUAUUGUGUAAAGUUUUUUAUUAUUCUUUUUUUCCCAUCUUUUGUGUGUUAUUUAUGUGAAUCCUACAGUGCAACACCUAAUCCUCGUCUUGUCUCUUCUCUUUAAAUUUUAAUGAAUCCAAUUUGCACCUUUGCGCUGCUUAUUUCCUAAACGUGCUGGUGGUUGAUUUAUUCCAAAACAAAGGAAACUGUGAGAGAAAUAGAAAAAUGGAGAAAAAGAGAGCAAAUCAACAGAAACCUGAGAGCAAGCAAAGAUAACCACGUCUGAAAACGGUUACUAUGGAAACUGUGCCUUUCUUUCCUCUCCUCUGGUAUAUUUAGAGUCGCACAUUUUCGUGUAACAGUGUGUACAAAUUAGCACACACCCCCUUCCCUGUAUUCUUCCAUACA